rnacentral:rRNA from 1 species
AGCGAACGCUGGCGGCGUGCUUAACACAUGCAAGUCGAGCGGUAAGGCCCUUUCGGGGGUACACGAGCGGCGAACGGGUGAGUAACACGUGGGUGACCUGCCCUCAGCUCUGGGAUAAGCCUGGGAAACCGGGUCUAAUACUGGAUAUGACUCCAUGACGCAUGUUGUGGGGUGGAAAGCCUUGUGCGGCUGAGGAUGGGCCCGCGGCCUAUCAGCUUGUUGGUGGGGUGAUGGCCUACCAAGGCGACGACGGGUAGCCGGCCUGAGAGGGCGACCGGCCACACUGGGACUGAGACACGGCCCAGACUCCUACGGGAGGCAGCAGUGGGGAAUCUUGCGCAAUGGGCGCAAGCCUGAUCCAGCGAUGCCGCGUGUGU